rnacentral:lncRNA from 1 species
UGGGAUAUGGUGGAUGGUGGAGCUGCUGCGCGUGCAGCCGGUGGCCGAGAUUCCGCCGGAGGUCGCGCAGUCGUACUAGAAGAUGCGAACACAAUGCAAACUAAACAGGCAAAGGUGAGUAAUUAUUCAUUGCUUAAUCUACCUCUGUACUAGUAGCUAUCUAUUGAACUUUGAAGUAUGCGAGCUAUGCACUCUGCUUUUCAAUCGCACACACUAGGGAAAUCACAAAUUGGUGAAAGCGCUUUUUAGUAAAAAAAUCACAAGAUAUUUAGAGUCCUAGUUUUAGUGAAACCUGAAAAUCACCUGAAGAGAUCAAAACAUUCUGCAAACAUCACACAAUAUUCACAGGAGUAAUAGCAAAAUGUUGUUCUGUUCCUUUGGUAUACAGUAAUCUCUUACAUUAGAGUUGGCAAAAAAGAGAACUUGUCAAAGGAGAAGUUUGAUACAUUAAAAUUUAAAAUAAACUUAGGUGGUACUCUAUUAGUAGUGAACUUUGAUUCUAAGUAAGAUUGAGUUGAUGUCUCUUUACUAAAUCAACUCAUGAUGCUGAUGUAUAAUUGCUUUCCCUCUUUAUUUGUCAGCAACUAGAGCUCAAAAAGCUGCUAUUGUGCUUCAUUUGAUAGCAAGUGGAGCUAAAAAAUUCUGCUACUGUGCUUUAUUUAACAGCAAGUUGAGCUAAAGAUUUCUGUUAUUGUGCUUCAGUUGACAGCAAGUGGAGCUAAAAAAAUUCUGCUAUUGUGCUUCAUUUAACAGCAAGUAGAGCUAAACAAUUCUGCUAUUAUGCUUCAUUUAACAACAAGUAGAGCUAAAAAAUUCUUCUGUUAUGCUUUAUGUAACAGCAAGAACAUUUGCACUUUUUUAUAGCAAGAAGAGUUCUAAAAUUCUAUUAUGCUAUUGUGCUUCAUUUAACAGCAAGUAGAGCUCAAAAAUUCUGCUAUUAUGCUUCAUUUAACAGCAAGUAGAGCUCAAUAAUUCUUCUAGUAUGCUUUAUGUAACAGCAAUAACAUUUGCACUUUUUUAUAGCAAGAAG